AGAAGAAUAACAGGUCAAAUCUCCUUUGGCAUAAUGCAAUAGUGUUCUUGCAUGAGAACUGUUUUUAUGCCAAAGGAGAAUUGCCCUGCCAUUCUAUG